UAUUUGGUAUACUCCAAAUCUUCAGAGUCAUUUUCUUGCUUAGGUUUCCGACGUUUCCUUCGCUGGGGUCUUCUGGAACGCUUAGCUUGAACCCACUACUCUGCAGACGGGUGGAAAAGCCAUGGCAGCUCUCAUCUUACUUCAUGGAAAGGUCUAGCAUCUUUUGAGAAGACAGCUAUUGAGAGACUGAGACAAACUCCAGUGAGGUUCAGUGCUUGGCUACUUCUGGCCAGACUACUGUGUUCAGCAUUGUUACAAGUCAUUCAGGCUCCUUUGUUCCCCAGUACAUCACCUGUGAAGUUAAGACAGGACAACAUUUUCCCUCAACUCUGUAAAGAAAAAAUGCCACGAUGUACUCUAAGGGAUUAAAAAAACAGCUCUACUAUGAUAAAUUGUUUAUGCUUUUUUUUUUUUUUUUUUAAACAUUUCAGCAGCUAAUUCAUGAGACCAAAUGAAAGACUGAAGGACAAUAACAUCACAUUCUACACAAGACAGCAGUCCAGAUUUUAUGUAACACACUACCAGACUAUUAAACCUGUACAACCUGUACUUUGUACACAAUCUCAAAUUGGCAGUAAAUUUGCAUAAAGCUUUAUUUUUAUUUUUUUUUACCUAAUACUUCUUACUAGAAUCAAAAUCCAGUCUGCAGUAACUGCAACAUUCCCACACAUCACAGUAAUAAAAGAGACAAGUUUAAUGAAACUACACAAGACUAUCAUGCAUUAAAUUCUGCAGAGGUACAAUUGUACAGACAGGGAGAAUCAAAUAAAGAACUCCAUUAGCAACAGAUUAGGAUCUACAAGAAAACAUUUACAAAGACAGACAUCAAGAUAUAAAGGUCUCAUCCAUCCAGUCUACUGUUGCGACAAGCAGUCCUGUAGUACAUGCUAUCAAAUUUUAAACUUGGGAGCCCAGGCUGCAAUACUGGAUAGGAAUAUCGCAUACAUAGCCUCUUAUGUACAGCCAAAUAUCCAAAUGAAUUUAUAUUCUAUAAAUACUAAAGUAUUUAAAUAAAAGCAUAUAUAUGCUCCAACAGUACCAAAUAAUAGCAGAUUUGUACUUGUAAAAUCUAAGUUUCUUAUUUACAAGUAACUGUCAGCCUCUUCAAGAGAAAGGAAUACGUGCGCCUGUUGGUAAACCACAGUAAACUAGGCUGUGCUAAUAACAUGCCUGUUGCACCCCUUAUCAGCUGAGGAGCAAAAUGAGCUAGAGAGCAUCUGCCAGCACAGAAAAUAGUUAUGUAGCCUGUGGUAGUAUGUCAAAUUAGAGAGUAGAAAAACUGAAAUAUCAAAUACAUAUUUUACUGUAAACGUCAUCCACAGCUAUUAAUCAAUUCAUAUGAAAGACAACUAACACUUCUACAGAACCACGUGGAAACCAUUAACUCCCCAAAUAAAGAAAAAUGCCCAAAAGGUACUAAUCAUUGUCCUGUGCAAUGCUCCUGAUAUACUCCUCAUUCACACGAAAGCAAGUCUCCAAUUCAUUCCUACAUUUUUAACUGUCUUGGUUCUGUAUGUAUCAGAUCUCUCUCUUGGUUUCAAACAUGCUCUCCAAAAUCACACACAAACCUCAAACACUGGUAAUCCAAAAUCUGGGAAAAGCCAGCUUAAGAACAUUACCAUCACAGCAUCAAAAUGCAUCUCUACUUUGAGAAGGACGCUACGUAUCGCUGACAAUAAAAUCCAAAAGGCAAAUCAAGAUUCCAGUAUAUGCCAUGGAAAGAAAAAUAAUUCGGACAUUAUCAAAUUAAUUUUGAAAGACUACAAAAUUACUUGAAAUGAAAAUAAGUCUGCUUUAGCACAGAAAUUCUCAACAGCAAAAGGCAGUAAUUGAAAGUAAGAACUAUCACUUCAUACAGAAGCUCAUAGAUUUUCAUUAUUGAAAUUCUUAAAACAAGGAGCAGACUGACUAAAGAGAACAAAUUCCUCCUUUUGUGAUACCUUGAACUUCACACAAGAGAACUCAUUCAUAUAUAUUCUCUAAUAUAUAUGCAUAGAGAAGGAAGUGCUGAUUAAAUAUGAAAACAGUAGUGACUUAAUGACUUCUUCCAUAGACAAAUGUAAACCCUGAACUGCUCAAGAACUUUCAGCAUUCAUCACUAAUUCUAAAUACUGAAAAACUGCCACUGUGAAACUUAUAGUUUCCUCAGUGCUGUUUUAGUGACUUCCCAGUUCCACUGUCAGCAUCACCAUGUCUUACAGUUCACCUGAUGAUUUCUAGUUCUUGUUUUAGAACAGGGAACAGUAUACACUUCAUAGAGUCAAAAUCUCUCAAUUCAUUACUCAUACUAAAAUUUCUUCUAUCUAGUCAGUAUGCGAGGUUAAGAUGCAUUAACUCAAAAAAA